rnacentral:tRNA from 1 species
GCCCGGGUGGUGGAAUCGGCAGACACAGGGGACUUAAAAUCCCCAGGCCCGGAAGGGCCGUGCGGGUUCGAGUCCCGCCCCGGGCA